UACGGGGGGAGCAAGCGUUGUUCGGAUUUACUGGGCGUAAAGGGCGCGUAGGCGGUCAGCACAAGUCAGUUGUGAAAUCUCCGGGCUUAACUCGGAAAGGUCAACUGAUACUGUGCGACUAGAGUGCGGAAGGGGCAACUGGAAUUCUCGGUGUAGCGGUGAAAUGCGUAGAUAUCGAGAGGAACACCUGCGGCGAAGGCGGGUUGCUGGGCCGACACUGACGCUGAUGCGCGAAGGCUAGGGGAGCAAACGGG
rnacentral:rRNA from 1 species